ACAUGCAAGUCGAACGAGCGAGAGAGAGCUUGCUUUCUCAAGCGAGUGGCGAACGGGUGAGUAACGCGUGAGGAACCUGCCUCAAAGAGGGGGACAACAGUUGGAAACGACUGCUAAUACCGCAUAAGCCCACGGUGCCGCAUGGCACAGAGGGAAAAGGAGCAAUCCGCUUUGAGAUGGCCUCGCGUCCGAUUAGCUAGUUGGUGAGGUAAUGGCCCACCAAGGCGACGAUCGGUAGCCGGACUGAGAGGUUGAACGGCCACAUUGGGACUGAGACACGGCCCAGACUCCUACGGGAGGCAGCAGUGGGGAAUAUUGCACAAUGGGGGAAACCCUGAUGCAGCGACGCCGCGUGGAGGAAGAAGGUCUUCGGAUUGUAAACUCCUGUUGUUGAGGAAGAUAAUGACGGUACUCAACAAGGAAGUGACGGCUAACUACGUGCCAGCAGCCGCGGUAAAACGUAGGUCACAAGCGUUGUCCGGAAUUACUGGGUGUAAAGGGAGCGCAGGCGGGAAGACAAGUUGGAAGUGAAAUCUAUGGGCUCAACCCAUAAACUGCUUUCAAAACUGUUUUUCUUGAGUAGUGCAGAGGUAGGCGGAAUUCCCGGUGUAGCGGUGGAAUGCGUAGAUAUCGGGAGGAACACCAGUGGCGAAGGCGGCCUACUGGGCACCAACUGACGCUGAGGCUCGAAAGUGUGGGUAGCAAACAGGAUUAGAUACCCUGGUAGUCCACACCGUAAACGAUGAUUACUAGGUGUUGGAGGAUUGACCCCUUCAGUGCCGCAGUUAACACAAUAAGUAAUCCACCUGGGGAGUACGACCGCAAGGUUGAAACUCAAAGGAAUUGACGGGGGCCCGCACAAGCAGUGGAGUAUGUGGUUUAAUUCGACGCAACGCGAAGAACCUUACCAAGUCUUGACAUCCCUUGACGAACAUAGAAAUAUGUUUUCUCUUCGGAGCAAGGAGACAGGUGGUGCAUGGUUGUCGUCAGCUCGUGUCGUGAGAUGUUGGGUUAAGUCCCGCAACGAGCGCAACCCUUAUGGUCAGUUACUACGCAAGAGGACUCUGGCCAGACUGCCGUUGACAAAACGGAGGAAGGUGGGGAUGACGUCAAAUCAUCAUGCCCUUUAUGACUUGGGCUACACACGUACUACAAUGGCGUUAAACAAAGAGAAGCAAGACCGCGAGGUGGAGCAAAACUCAGAAACAACGUCCCAGUUCGGACUGCAGGCUGCAACUCGCCUGCACGAAGUCGGAAUUGCUAGUAAUCGCAGAUCAGCAUGCUGCGGUGAAUACGUUCCCGGGCCUUGUACACACCGCCCGUCACACCAUGAGAGCCAGG
rnacentral:rRNA from 1 species